UACGGGGGGCUGCAGUAACGAAUCUUCCCCAAUGGGCGCAAGCCUGAGGGAGCGACGCCGCGUGGAGGAUGAAGUCCUUCGGGAUGUAAACUCCUGUCAGGGGUUACCAAGCUACUGAGGAGCCCCAAAGGAAGAGGCGGCUAACUCUGUGCCAGCAGCCGCGGUAAGACAGAGGCCUCAAGCGUUAGGCGGAAUCACUGGGCUUAAAGCGUGUGUAGGCGGAUCGUUAAGUGCCUUGUGAAAUCCCACGGCUUAACUGUGGAACGGCUGGGCAUACUGGCGGUCUUGAGCCAUCUAGGGGCGACUGGAACAAGUGGCGGAGCGGUGAAAUGCGUAGAUAUCACUUGGAACGCCAAUGGUGAAACCAGAUAGCUGGGGUUGUGCUGACGCUGAGACACGAAAGCCAGGGGAGCAAACGGGAUUAGAUACCCGGGUAGUCAUCUUCUAGA
rnacentral:rRNA from 1 species